UCCGAGUUGACCCCGGCAGUCUCCCACGAGUCCCCGCCAUUACGCGCUGGCAACAUAGGAUAAGGGUUGCGCUCGUUGCGGGACUUAACCCAACAUCUCACGACACGAGCUGACGACAGCCAUGCAGCAUCUGUGGUGCACCCUCGAAGGUCACACGUUUCCGUGCGCUUGCAGCACCAUGUCAAGCCCAGGUAAGGUGGGGAUGACGUUACGGUCUUACU
rnacentral:misc_RNA from 1 species